rnacentral:rRNA from 1 species
UACGUAGGGGGCAAGCGUUGUCCGGAUUUAUUGGGCGUAAAGAGCGUGUAGGCGGCCAGACAGGUCAGCUGUGAAAACUCGAGGCUCAACCUCGAGACGUCGGUUGAAACCGUCUGGCUAGAGUCCGGAAGAGGAGAGUGGAAUUCCCGGUGUGAGCGGUGAAAUGACGUAGAUAUCGGGAGGAACACCAGUGGCGAAGGCGACUUACUGGACGACUGUUGACGCUGAGGUGCGAAAGCGUGGGGAGCAAACAGG